GCUGUCCCACCCCCGCAGCCCCAGCCCUCUCCAAAGACGCAAGACUGACUGCUUGGCUCUUCCCAGCAGUCCCAGAGAGGGCCGCGACCGAGUUCUCUACAACCUGAACUCUGCAGUAACAAGGCUGGAGAUCUUCACGUCCUGGGGGCUGGGGGUCCCUCCAUGGGGAGGAGAAUGGCUCGAUGUGGAUAGCUGGACAGACGCCGCCUUGGCAAGACACGGGGACGAGCUUCUCCCAAGGAGGGAUCUCAGGGGCCACCCCUCACCCCCGGAAGCAGAGGCUGGCAGGCCCCCACACAAUGAUUCACAGUUGAUUAAUGCUACAUGAGUCCUGAUCAGCACCCCCACUGAAGAAAAGACAGGGCUGGGGCAACGGGGUGGGGGGUGGGGCUCAUCUUAAAGAAAAACGGAGGUUUGAGGGGUCGUGCGCGUAGACAGGUCAAGACUUGAAUCCCUUCA